AGACUUGCCACAAGUCAACCUCGAACGGAACGCGAGCAGCUUCUUCGUCGCUCGCUGCUCGCGUUUCGUUCGAGGUCGACUUGUGGCAAGUCU